rnacentral:rRNA from 1 species
CGAACGAGCGAGAGAGAGCUUGCUUUCUCGAGCGAGUGGCGAACGGGUGAGUAACGCGUGAGGAACCUGCCUCAAAGAGGGGGACAACAGUUGGAAACGACUGCUAAUACCGCAUAAGCCCACGGUGCCGCAUGGCACAGAGGGAAAAGGAGCAAUCCGCUUUGAGAUGGCCUCGCGUCCGAUUAGCUAGUUGGUGAGGUAACGGCCCACCAAGGCGACGAUCGGUAGCCGGACUGAGAGGUUGAACGGCCACAUUGGGACUGAGACACGGCCCAGACUCCUACGGGAGGCAGCAGUGGGGAAUAUUGCACAAUGGGGGAAACCCUGAUGCAGCGACGCCGCGUGGAGGAAGAAGGUCUUCGGAUUGUAAACUCCUGUUGUUGGGGAAGAUAAUGACGGUACCCAACAAGGAAGUGACGGCUAACUACGUGCCAGCAGCCGCGGUAAAACGUAGGUCACAAGCGUUGUCCGGAAUUACUGGGUGUAAAGGGAGCGCAGGCGGGAAGACAAGUUGGAAGUGAAAUCUAUGGGCUCAACCCAUAAACUGCUUUCAAAACUGUUUUUCUCGAGUAGUGCAGAGGUAGGCGGAAUUCCCGGUGUAGCGGUGGAAUGCGUAGAUAUCGGGAGGAACACCAGU